rnacentral:rRNA from 1 species
AAUGAACGCUGGCGGCGUGCUUAACACAUGCAAGUCGAGCGAGGCCUGGGGGGCGAACUCCCAGAGUCGAGCGGCGGACGGGUGAGUAACACGUGGGUAACCUGCCCGGAAGUGGGGAAUACCUCGGGAAACUCGAGCUAAUACCGCAUGACAUCUCCGGGACGAAAGUCCUGGCGAUCAAAGCGGGGUCGCAAGAUCUCGCGCUACCGGAUGGGCCCGCGCCCGAUUAGCUAGUUGGGAGGUAACGGCUCACCAAGGCUUCGAUCGGUAACCGGCCUGAGAGGGCGAUCGGUCACACCGGAACUGAGACACGGU